UGGUAAGGAAUCCCAAUACUCACUGAGUGGUAAGGUUUUUCUCUAAUGUGGCAUAUCCACAUGUGUGGCCGGAUGGGCUUCCAAACCUGAAUGCGGUGCAUAUCUCGCACAUGGAUAAUGUGCGAAAGCAUCAAAAUAAUCAUGUAGCUGAGGCGUUGCAGAGGAUAAGUGUCAAGGUCAACAAUUUCCCCCAUGUUCCAUAUCAUGAUCCUGAUUACGUACCGCAGGUGGAGAGAAGAACUGUGCUCUACCUUCCGGGUUACAAGGAAGUCGCUGAAAUGUUGAAACUGUGAAACGCGCAUGCCACAGAGAAGAACUGAAUGCGUGUGCCACAGUUUCAACAUUUCAGGGACUUCCUUGUAACCCGGAAGGUAGAGCACAGUUCUUCUCUCCACAUGCGGUACAUAAUGUGGAUCAUGAUAUGGAGCAUGGGGGAAAUUGUUGACCUUGGCACUUAUCUUGUGCAACGCCUCAGCUACAUGCAUUCGCACAUUAUCCAUAUGCGAGAUAUGCGCCGCAUUCAGGUUUUCAACAGCAUCUUCAAGAUGCUAAUGUUUCUUAUGCUUGGACUCCGGCCCCGUUGCUUGGCGUUGGCGUUGGCGUUGGCGUUGGUGUUGGCGGUCGCGGGGCGGUGGCGGUUGGGCCAUCACCCAAGUUGGCCACGGUAACGUGGUCUUUCAAGGUGGGGAGUGGCGGCAUCAUGCAUACUCACGUGCACGCCCAUGGCAAUGUUUAUGUGAUUAAUGGGGCAGCUCAUAUAGAGAUUGAAGAAGAAGAAGAGGCUGUUGUUGUGGAUGUAGCAGCUUGGGCGGCAAGUUUUUUCAGCUCCCGAGCAGCCGGGCCCCUCGCGGAAGCACCCGCUGGCUUGGUGCACACCCACGUGCACGCCUAUGGCAAUGUUUAUGUGAGCCGUGGGGCGGCGGCGGAGGUUCAUAUUCAGCCUCCUUACCUUGCUGGAGCUGCCGAGGAGCCGGGCCCCUCGCGUGAAGCACCCGCACCAGAUGAAGGAAGAAGCCUCCUUCUUCCUUGCAAGAGGUCCAGAGACUCCUAGGAUUAUUUGGGCUAGCAAAAGAUUGUGAAAAAGGUCUUGAAGAUUCAGAAGGCAAAAGAAAAGCUUCUUUUUGGAGGACUUUUAGGUUCGGGUGAUUACAGUAGUUGUUAUUUCCCAUGUUAGUUGUUUGAACUCUAUAUAGAGAAAUUGUGUACUUUGUUUGUCUUAAUUUACUUGCUGGUUUACUGGUUUCA